ACUUAAAUUGAAGAGUUUGAUCAUGGCUCAGAUUGAACGCUGGCGGCAGGCCUAACACAUGCAAGUCGAACGGUAGCACAGAGAGCUUGCUCUCGGGUGACGAGUGGCGGACGGGUGAGUAAUGUCUGGGAAACUGCCUGAUGGAGGGGGAUAACUACUGGAAACGGUAGCUAAUACCGCAUAACGUCGCAAGACCAAAGAGGGGGACCUUCGGGCCUCUUGCCAUCAGAUGUGCCCAGAUGGGAUUAGCUAGUAGGUGGGGUAACGGCUCACCUAGGCGACGAUCCCUAGCUGGUCUGAGAGGAUGACCAGCCACACUGGAACUGAGACACGGUCCAGACUCCUACGGGAGGCAGCAGUGGGGAAUAUUGCACAAUGGGCGCAAGCCUGAUGCAGCCAUGCCGCGUGUAUGAAGAAGGCCUUCGGGUUGUAAAGUACUUUCAGCGGGGAGGAAGGUG
rnacentral:rRNA from 1 species